AUUGAACGCUGGCGGCAGGCUUAACACAUGCAAGUCGAGCGGGGAAAGGUAGCUUGCUACCUGACCUAGCGGCGGACGGGUGAGUAAUGCUUAGGAAUCUGCCUAUUAGUGGGGGACAACAUCUCGAAAGGGAUGCUAAUACCGCAUACGUCCUACGGGAGAAAGCAGGGGACCUUCGGGCCUUGCGCUAAUAGAUGAGCCUAAGUCGGAUUAGCUAGUUGGUGGGGUAAAGGCCUACCAAGGCGACGAUCUGUAGCGGGUCUGAGAGGAUGAUCCGCCACACUGGGACUGAGACACGGCCCAGACUCCUACGGGAGGCAGCAGUGGGGAAUAUUGGACAAAGGGGGGAACCCUGAUCCAGCCAUGCCGCGUGUGUGAAGAAGGCCUUUUGGUUGUAAAGCACUUUAAGCGAGGAGGAGGCUACCGAGAUUAAUACUCUUGGAUAGUGGACGUUACUCGCAGAAUAAGCACCGGCUAACUCUGUG
rnacentral:rRNA from 1 species